rnacentral:SRP_RNA from 1 species
UCGUGCUAGGCGGGGAGCUAGCGGUGCCCUGUAACCCGAAAUCCGCUUAUGCGGGGUUGAAAGUCCUUUAGGAGAUCCUUGACGAGUUGUCCCUCUGCCGUUUCCGGAGGGGAGAUGGACCUCACGUAACAGGCGCUUAUGAACCCCGUCAGGUCCGGGAGGAAGCAGCGGUAAGUAAGAAAGCCUGUGUCGUGAUGUAAUCUAUCUAUUUUCUCCGGGCUGCACGGACCUCUCGGUCAUGGUUUGAAUAAGGAUGCGCGA